GGGUCAAUAUGUUGGUCGUGCCUUGGUACGUACUAGUUUAUUGGUUUCUUCCUUCUGACGAACCAUGAUGUCAUUAAUUUGGUGUCAUGGGAAAUCAGGACUGUUACUUUGAAAAAAUUAGAGUGUUUAAAGCAAGCUAACGCUUGAAUACAUUAGCAUGGAAUAAUGAAAUAGGACGUUCGAUCCUAUUUUGUUGGUUUCUAGGAUCGACGUA
rnacentral:rRNA from 1 species